rnacentral:rRNA from 1 species
GACGAACGCUGGCGGCGUGCUUAACACAUGCAAGUCGAACGAUGAUCAGGAGCUUGCUCCUGUGAUUAGUGGCGAACGGGUGAGUAACACGUGAGUAACCUGCCCCUGACUCUGGGAUAAGCGUUGGAAACGACGUCUAAUACUGGAUACGACUGCCAGCCGCAUGGUCUGGUGGUGGAAAGAUUUUUUGGUUGGGGAUGGACUCGCGGCCUAUCAGCUUGUUGGUGAGGUAAUGGCUCACCAAGGCGACGACGGGUAGCCGGCCUGAGAGGGUGACCGGCCACACUGGGACUGAGACACGGCCCAGACUCCUACGGGAGGCAGCAGUGGGGAAUAUUGCACAAUGGGCGAAAGCCUGAUGCAGCAACGCCGCGUGAGGGAUGACGGCCUUCGGGUUGUAAACCUCUUUUAGUAGGGAAGAAGCGAAAGUGACGGUACCUGCAGAAAAAGCACCGGCUAACUACGUGCCAGCAGCCGCCGUAA